rnacentral:lncRNA from 10 species
UUUGAAAUCAAAAUGAAGAGGAAGUAAUUAAUGAUGAAGAGUAGGAUCUAGAAGGAAAGGCAGCUUCAGAGAACCAUCUGUUGAUGUGGCCAGGAAAUGCUGGCUGAGAUCCCAACAAAGGAGCCGAGAAGUCCUGGCCAAUGUCUGGCACCUGUGUAAAUGUCUGUCACAGCAAGAGUGACCCCCAUAAUUACCUCGACCUUAUUCAAGCGAGAAGUGCCCGUCAGCCUGAGCCCGGUUUGAGAGGCACGCCUGCUGCUCCGUCCCUCCCCCGUGAGCGCGCCAGCUGAAUCUCCAGCUCAGCAGCAGCCCCAAAGCCCCCAUCAUCAGAAUUUCACCUCCUCCAGCAGCAGGAGACCUCCUCCAAGUUGGGGGAGGCGCCCCACACAGUCCUGACAUCAAGGGCUUUCCUCAGAAACACCCCAGCUGGGGGCUUUCUUUUGACUCACAGCACUUUCAGCCAGGAUGUUCAUGAGCCUGGGGUCCAUUGUUUGUGAAGUCAACUGGAUUCCAAGUUUAAACAUGCAGAGGAAAGGAGGAGUUCCUCAAGCACCUCUGAACUCCAGCAGCUCUGGAAUAUUCCCAUUUCAACAUUCCCACCUGCGCUCCGUCCUCCCUCCUGCCUCUUCCAUCAUAGGGGAUGAGAUGUGUCCUUUUCAAAGGGUGUGAGGAACAACUGUUAUGCACAGAACUAAGGUUAGAAAACACCUUGUAAGUCAACUGAUUAACAAGCACAUGGUAAGUGCUCACAAAAUACAAAUAAUACCAAUAUUACCUCUCAUAUUUCAGCUUUCUUGUAGCCUAAAGUCCAAAACUCUGUUUUGUGGAACAGGAUAGCAUGGCCUAUUUAAAGAUAAAGUGCAUUGUGCCCUUCAGAUUGAUAUGGAUAUUUAAAACUCCAUCAUGCAAUUUAAAUAAGCUUGGAAAGACAUGAAUUCAAAAAGUAAAAUUGUCACCUAUAGAAGUGCAUACUAACAAUAUUACUAACAGUAAAGGAAAUGUGAUUAAGCAUAUCUAAGUAUCAUUACAAACCUAAUAAAAAAUAAAAAAUAUAAGAGCCAGUUUCACUGGGAUUAUGAGUAAGCCAUUCAAUAUUAUGUGGCAAUGUGAAUUGGUUCAAUAUUUCUGGUGCCAUAAGCUCACUGCUCAGAUUUACAGCUCAUCAUCCCGAAUACCUUCAACAAAAAGCUAAUCUACAAAAAAAAUUAAAUGUCUUGUGCAAAGAUAGAGGAAAACGGAGAUCAACUUAAAUGUCCCCCAAAUUAUUUGCCUGAAGGUAAUGUUUUAGAGUUUUCAGAGUGGUGAGAGAAUGAAAGUUUAAGAAUCAGGACGUGGUUAGAUGAUGGUAUGUCUGAGUAAAAUAAUGAACUGAAUCAGGGGAGAUGUCUAUUUGUGAAGGAAGCUGUGCCUACCCACACCAGACCUCUCAGAUAAUGUCUAAGUCUCCAAUGCCCAAAGUAGGAAGGACUCACCCACCUAGAAGGAGAAUCCAGGCAGUGCCAGGUAGUGUGGUGUGGCGGUUAAGGGCAUGGGAGCCAGGAUACCUGCCUUUGAAUGUGGCCUUCACUUCUUUGCUGUGUGACCAUGGGAAGGAACUCAGCUUCUUUGUACCUAGGUUUUUCUCAUCUGAGAAACAGGAAUAAUAAUAGUCCAUAUCUUCUAAUGUCCUGUGAAGAUUAAAUGAGUUAACCUUGGUGAAGGUCCUAAAAAAUUGCCAAUCUUAUACCAUGUGCUUGUUAGAAAUGUUUAUGUAAUAAAUAAGCAAUAUUAAGGUACACAAACUGUAUCUUUUCUAAUUCUCCCCUAGCUGGAGCGGGAGGACAAGGGUAUACCCUAGGAGCCAGCGGUAGAACAGAAAGUUUAUUGCCCCAGAUUGAAGAAGACAUCUAAGUCAAUGGGGGGAAACACCACUAACAGCUGAGGUGAUGGCUGAUGAGUGGAGGGAUUUUAAGUGGACGGAAGGAGUAUGGAAUGUCAGGGUCAGGAGCAAUGGGGAUCAUCAGGGCAGUGCUGCCUCAGACUCGGGGGUCUGUUCAUUGUCUUAUGUCAGCUCCUUGGGAUGAGUGGCUGAGCUGUGCCCAAGGCUGGGCAGACAGGUCCAGGGAUAAAGAAGGGUUCAAAUCUGAUGAAGAUAGGCAGUGGUGAGUGCCAGGCCAUAAUGAGACUUGUCAUCUCAGCCACGAGGAUCUGGAGAGGCUGGCUGAAUUUAUCCAACAUGCUGGAUGAAAGAGGCUGCCCACCAGCGAGCGGGAGGCUAAGACUGUACCUGAAUGGAAGAGCGCAUGCUUCCACCCUGCAGGAGGACUCUCCGAGGGGCUAGGAGCAUCUUUGUUCUAAGGCGAGCCCCCAGAAUCUCUCAGCAGUAGUGGCAGCUAUGGAAACACAUGCAACGCUGCCCUGAUACAGCCUAGCUGCAGUUGUUGGGCUAAAAUUAUUCUGGGCCUAUUUGAUGUAUUUGCAAGCUUCUGAGAGACAGGAGAGUUUGCAGACCUCUUACCACUUCACGAGGCUUGAGAUACAUUACAUCCACACUGGAUUUGACAUUCACAGCUAUAAAUUGGGUAUUUACUGCUCAGGAAAAGGGAGCUCAGAGCUGUUAAGUUACCAGCUUAAAAAGCUAGCAACUGUUAAGAAGCAGAUCCCAUACUUGACUCCAAAUUUUAUGAUGCAGAAUCCGUGUUCUUUAGUCACACUUCAGUGGAUUGCAAUGAGACAUGGAAUGGCUUAUGAACAUGAAAUAGCAUCACUUAAAGAAGCACAAUUAAAAUAUAGGAUGUAGCAUAGAAAAAUACAUGGCUCGGCAAUGAUAAAAGUAAGAAGUAAAACGGAACUGAUGAAAGGAGAGUUCAGUGAUUAUUUGCCCUUAGUUCCUAUUAAAUGUACAUAUGUUCAUCUUAAAUAAAUGUUUGCAUGGAA